CGUAGCCACCGUGCUUCUACACCUGCAUUGCUUGUGGUUUGGGGUUUUAGGCUGGGUUUCUGUACAGCACUUUGUGACAUCAGCUGAUGUAAGAAGAGCUUUAUAAAUAAAUGUGAUUGAUAAUGAUAGCUAUGUACCUUGCAGGUUGGCCUUAGGAUGUCAUUAUCUCCCCAGUAUCCAUUGUUUAACAUGCAGACAAGUGAGCUAUAUGUCCUUCAGUUUCUUGACUUUGUGCCAAAGGCCAGACAGACAGACGGGCGAAGGAUUCUGAUCUGAUCCGGGUUGGGGUGGGGUGUGGUGGGGUUGGAGAACUGUCUGAGAGGGGGAGGCUGGCUGGAGGAGGAGACGGAGAGGAGUGCUCCUCCGUGGGGGUGAGUCAUCGCCUUCGGAGGCUAUUCAGUGAGUUCACUCUGGGAGGAUCGUGAUCCUUCGGUUGGUCGGUGAAUCCGCCGUCCUCCUCGCCACAGCCAGAGAGGGGCUGUGAAGGAAAGUGUGGGGGCCUGGCUGGGCUGAUGACUCAGGGCCACGCACCGCACAAGGAGUGAGGGAGGAGGGGGAGGGAGGGAGGAAUUACGAAUUACUCCGAGCAUGUGGAAUCUCAUACAGCUAUCACAGGACAGACACUGUGCUUCUACUAGGCUCUGAGGCUCUGUAGAAGUCUGUCCUUAGGCACAGUGGUAAUGGCAGUGGUAAGACGGCUAAGGGCCGUUGGUUUCCAUUGAAGAGGAACAGAACAGAGCAGUAUAUUCCUGUCCUCGCACUUUGAAACAAAGUCAUGCCCCCCUUCUUAUUGAAUGAAUUACGUCUUUCUAUUACAGCAAGUCGGUGCAGGUUUGAAGCUCUGCAACUCCAGCAAAGUAAUUAAGCAUUGCAUGCUGUCAAAAUAUUCCAUUACAAAAGUCUUGAAGAUUUGGGAAGUGUCUCCGGUGACUAUCUAGAUGGGAGGGGAGGUGAGUUGGGCCGUUUAUUGUCCAGUUCUUCCUGUUUCUUUCUUGAGUGAUGAUGCUCCUCCUCCAGCUCUGUCAUUGGAUAAAUUCUUUCAAAUAACAAAGCUUCAUUGAGUGAUGAUGACAAACAUUUCCAGAAAGAGAACUACCUGUAUGACAUGCAAUACGGACUCUCUAUGCGCCCCCUCUAGUGUGAGUCAUCAGGCCUAAAGACGCCGAGCUGUGAGUGGUGAAUCAGGUGUUGAUAAUGGCCAACAGUGGAGGGCUGGUCAGCCGACAGGUGGGGGCUGGUGUGUGUUGGGUGUGUGUAUAGGUGUGCAGUGCGUGCAUGUAUUGUUGUGUGCAUGUUUUGUGUGAUGUGAGUGUGGAGGGAGAUUAUGGUGUGUGUGUGUCUCCAUGAAGAGGAGUUGAUGUUGUGUGAUGCAUGACUCAACACGAGAGGAAGGCCACACCCAUGGGACGAGCCCAGGCUCCCUUCAGCGGCGGCAUGGUCCUAGAUCUCACUGACUAUGGGUGCCACGAUUAAAGUGUAUUGUCCUAACUGAUGAAGCUCAAACACUUGAAGAGGCACUCAAAUCCUGCACAAACCCUCCGACACAAAGGCAGAGAGGCCAGGCGAGAAAGUGGAGCACACCUUCACCCUCCGCUGUAUGCCCCUUUAUAAACAAACUCUUCCAACCUGAUUUCAGCCAACCAGCUACUGAGAGUCUGGGCCCGUAUUCACAAAGCGUCUCAGAGUAGCAGUGCUGAUCUAGGAUCAGGUCCCCCCUGUCCAUACAAACAUAUUCAUUAUGGUCUAAAAGGCAAAAAACUGAACCUAGAUCUGCACUCCUUCUCUGAGACACUUUAUGAUAGGGACAACCGGGAGUAAAUAGAAUGACUUAGCCAUGGCUUAACCAUGUGUUGCAUCUCCAUAAUGGUAAUUUCCUCCAGUAAUUACUCAUCAUUAAAUGUCUCUCUCUCCCAAUCACCUGGUUAGUGUUUAUAAUACGGUCUGCCUUGGUAAAUCCCCAUCAUUCUGAAAUAGCCUGAUUGUGUUUAAUUGGAGCAUUCACUAAACAGAGUCCACCCACCAGCAUCAACAAAUCCAAUAUAUUUUAACAGCAGGGAACAAUUUAAUCCGCCUCCAUAUAUCACCAUUGUAAACAACCAAGACGCAGAGCCCAAUGUUGCACAAUGAGCCUGCGUUGAGGAGGAGUUGAAAGGUCAGGUAAACACUUGUCCCAGGCUUUCCCUGCCUUUUUAAUCAGGACUCCUGUCCAUUUUUUGAUCUUGAUUAGAUCUCUUGACUUAUGGCUGUGUACACUAAUGCUGCACUUCUGGCGGCUCCUUAACUCACUGUUUGGUUUGUUUCAUGUGGACGGGAAUGUCAAGUUGCUUGUUGGCCUGGAGGCUUGUGCGCUGAGUCGCCGACAAACCAUGGAAUGAAUCCUUUGCAGACUAAUGGGCGGGCCAACGUUUUCCAGUGUUUGUCAUGGUGAGUUUGUUUGCCUAUAUGCAUACCUCAUAUUCAUAUUCAGUGCUAACUUUAGUGCUUGUGUGUUUCCAUUCUGUGAAUAUAGGUCCUCAAAGCCCAACGUGGUCCAGUUUCAGAGAAACUGCCUCAUUCAGCACAAAUAUUAUGGAAGACCAUUUAGAGUGGUUUACCAGAUGGCUUCCAUGGAGUUUCUCAACCUCCACCAAAUAGGGAAUUGCCAUUGACAGCAAGUAAACAACCUGAACACCAACUGCCGCCAACGUAAACAUCUUAAGGUAGCAUGUGUCUCUGCUACAUUCAAAACUUCGGCUGCAGUUGUCAGGCUGGGUUAAAGGUCAUGAAGCAUCCAGUGACGGGUGGAAAUGAAGACCACACAGCUUGAAGAGAUCAGGUUGAAGAGGGAGGACAUAUUUAACUUGUGGGUCAUAGGUCAAACUCUCUCCCUCUACCUUUCCAUCUCCCCCGCUCUCUUUCACUCUCACCUUUCUCCUUCCCCUCUACCCCGCUCUUUCUAUCACCCCACCUCUCUCUUUCUUCACCUACAUGUAUACUCCUGUCUUUUCCUCUUCUGACCCCCCCACCCCUCUCUCUCCUUCAUUCUCAUCCUCUCUCUCAGCCUGGCUGUUAUUUCUCCAUAUGUUUUGACUAUGUGCUACCUGAGCUGGUCUGUGCUGUUGGGCCUGAGGCAGGUCUCUGGCAGGCAGCAGUGUCAAGUUGGAGGGAGGCUUGGUGGUCUGUGUGUGACAUGGAGAAGGGCCCACCGGCACCGCAGCAGCCCCGCUGAGGCCAGGUCUACAGCUGUCCCACCCUGCCAGGGCCUCUGCUUACAGUCACUGUGAGUUACGACCGUUGCUCCUUACUCACACACACACACACACUGGCAGGCGCACACACAGAGGUGAAUGCCCCCCCUACUAGCAGCCACACACACCGCAGACACACACGCUGAGGCAAGAUAUAUUCCUAGCAGGAGCUUAAGCCCUAUCUGAGAAAGCCCAUUCCCACUUGGCUUGUUAAAGACAGGCCAUGUAGAAAGAGUACAUUUAAAGCCCACACAUCAAAUACAGGGGAAAUGUGAUGUGUAGCUGAUAGCGCUCUGUGCAUUCACACCACAUCCCGUGCCAGAGGGCACAGACAAACACACACACACACUCCCCGUACCAGAGGGCGCACACACACACACACACACACACACACACACACACACACACACACACACACACACAUACACCCCGUACCAGAGGGCACACACACACCCUGUACCAGAGGGCACACACACACCCCGUACCAGAGGGCACGCAAACACUCUUUAUCAGAGGGCACACACACACCUCGUACCAGAGGGCAUGCACACACACACACACCCCGUACCAGAGGGCACGCACACACACACCCCAUACCAGAGGGCACGCACGCAAACACACCCCGUACCAGAGGGCACACACACACCCUGUACCAGAGGGCACACACACACCCUGUACCAGAGGGCACAUACACCCUGUACCAGAGGGCACACACACACAAUGAAUAACCCCCACCAGACGCACACAUAGACGAAUGAUCCUUAACAGAGGACACACACAAACUCCCAAAGCCCUCAAUCACAGGCGUGUACGGGCCCAGCAUACAUGUUUAUGUCUACAGAUCAAUCCAGCUGAUCCAGAAGCAGCCCAACCUUGACCUGAUAGAUCAACAAUGCUCUCUGUCUCUCCAUUAUUGGCGAGAUGUUUGGACACAGCUUGUAGCAGGGUGAUGAGGCCAGAACUGAUAUUGGAUUUCAUAACCCUAUAAUGCUAUAGUCCAAUCAUUGAAAUGCUUUACUUUAGAACAGAAGCUUUUGCUAAUUAAAUCAAUACAAUUGUCCUGUUGUUUGUUCUACAGCAAGGAGAACGUCCCCUGAAGGUGUGUGUGUGUGUGUGUGUGUAAAUGUGUAACUGUGUUCAUGCAUGUAUGUGUGUGUGUCAAUGUAAUACAGUAUCUCAUGCAACAAUCACCGGAUGGAAUGCUUCUUGGUCCACAGGAAAGGAUGGAUGGAGAGAAGAUGGAUGGAUGGAUAGAGGAUCGAGAUUAGAGAUGGAUAAAUAGAGGAUAGAGACUAGAGAUGGAUGGAGAGAGGAUGGAUUGAGAAAGGCGUGGGUGUAGAUGAAUGGUGAGUGGGGGUCCUGCAGUACUAAAAGCCGGUGACCCAGACCAUACACACCCACUCACAGGGACCUAACACCACUCAGAGGACUGCUCCUUGGUCCACUGCUACCACAUGCUAAAACACUUAGAUACAACACACACACACACACACACACACACACACACAUACACACACACACACACACACACACACACACACACACACAGAGAUAGCAAAAUGCUAAAUGUGAAGUUCACAUUCAAAAUACAUCCCGAGACACAGACUACCAGUCAGAGACAUCAACACACGCUCUUGUGUGUGUUGCCAUGCGAUGGUGAUGAGCUGCACAUGACAUGAGUGGGGCGUGGAGCCCAACCUCUUAUCAGACAAAGGAGAUACACAGAGAAGAGAGAAGGAGGGAAGGAGAGGAGAAGGAUGGGGGGGGGGGGGAGGAAGGAGACGUGCCGCCCCAGACUGCAGUCAUGAGGUCUCCAUCCCGUUCCACACGCCGAGUCUCGUGGGUAAAAAGCCAUAAUAAAAAAACUUUGCGCUAUAGCCAAAACCCCCCUCACACACAGUCAAGAGUCACAACACACACACACACACACACACACACACACACACACACACACACACAUACACACACACACACACACACACACACACACACAGUCAAGAGUCACAACACACACACACAGUCAAGAGUCACAACACACACACACAGUCAAGAGUCACAACACACACACACAAUCGAGCCACAACACACACACAGGAACCGGACUGCGUAGAUUAAUGCCAUUCGCCCCGGGAGUACCCCUUUGGUUUUGAGUUGAGGAAGUCCAGACAAGCUAUUUCACACACACUGUUCAUGUGAUCCCAUAAAUUCACUUCCUUUUCUGUAUGUCUUGACCGAAAAGUUGUGUUUGUCAAUAAAAUGUUUGAUUUGCAAGUA